GGCUCGAUAGCUUAGUUGGUAAAGCGCUCGUCUAGCAUACAAGAGUCCUGGGUUCAAAUCCCAGCCGAGCAC
rfam:Aedes aegypti strain Liverpool supercont1.615 genomic scaffold, whole genome shotgun sequence.